rnacentral:rRNA from 1 species
CUCAAUUCGGAUUGGAGUCUGNAACCCGACUCCAUGAAGCUGGAUUCGCUAGUAAUCGCGCAUCAGCCACGGCGCGGUGAAUACGUUCCCGGGCCUUGUACACACCGCCCGUCAAGCCAUGGAAGCCGGGAGUGCCUGAAGUGCGUGAGCGCAAGCAGCGCCCUAAGGUAAAACCGGUGACUGGGGCUAAGUCGUAACAAGGUAUC